rnacentral:lncRNA from 1 species
GUAAGUGCAUUCUCUCAUUCUCCAUCUUCUGGAAAGCACUCUUUGAGCAUGUUGACAGAAUGAUUGACACUCACAUCUCUCUUAUUUCCAGUGAUUUCGCUACAGUUUACUAGCGUAUUCCUAGACUAAGACUACGGCAUUGAAGAAGCAAGCUCACUCUCAUUCCAAGAAUCAGAAAAAGGCAUUCUGUCCGGUAAUGAAUUUCGAAGUUUUCGGCUUGCUUUCUCUCUUCUCUUGCAGUUGGCAGUCUCAGUCAACCUUGUUUCGGGCCUUCUCUUCUACUCUAUCUGCUUAUUGGAUUGAUAGGUACAGUCUUUCUUCUAUGCUUCUGAUUGAACUUUAAGGUAAUGGGAGAGAAGGCAAUUGAUAGAUAACUGGUAAGUAAAGCUAUGGACUGGGUUCUCACUCUAAGCCA